rnacentral:misc_RNA from 1 species
GGUUGGAUCAUUAAAAAAUUCAACUCUUUUCCUUUCGAGUCUUCCAGACUCUUAAGGGAGGAAACCCCCACUUUGUGAAUCUAUUUCUAAAAAAAAAAAUCACUCUUUUUUUUUUUUUUUUUUACUUUCCCCCAGCUUUCUAAAAGUUGGGGAAGUAAGAGGAGAAUGAAGAAGGUGCUUUUUUUAUUUUAAACUAUUUUAUUACUGUUUAAGUUUAUCUUUUAUUAAAAAAUAAUGAAAAAAACAACUUUUGACAACGGAUCUCUAGGCUCUCGCAACGAUGAAGAACGCAGCGAAAUGCGAUAAGUAAUGUGAAUUGCAGAAUUCCGUGAAUCAUUAAAUCUUUGAACGCACAUUGCGCUCUUUGGUAUUCCGAAGAGCAUGUCUGUUUGAGAAUCAGUUUAACCUGUCUAGACUCUCUUCUAUUAUUUUAGAGUUGUUCUUGGAGCAUGGGACUCUCACUUUUCUUCAAAGUGAAGACCUUAAAUGAAAUUUUUUCGUUCUACUCUUUUCACCCAUCUUUUAAAAAAAAGAUGGUUCAAUUUUUUUUGAGAAAAAGUUUUUGAAGGAAAUGGCAAGAUUAGUUUUUAGAGGACUCUUUCCUUUAAAAUUUUUUAAUUGUUGUUUCUUUCUCAAAAAAACUUUCAAAGAAAAGGGAAAGACAAAGUUGGCGAAAGAUUAAUAAAAAAACACGAAAGGGGAAACCCUUUUAAGACUUGAUCUCAAAUCAAACAAGACUACCCGCUGAACUUAAGCAUAUCAAUAAGCGGAGGAAAAGAAACUAACAAGGAUUCCCCUAGUAACGGCGAGUGAAGCGGGAAUAGCUCAAUUUUGAAAUCUCACUGGGUUCCCAGUGCGAAUUGUAGUUUAAAGAAGUGUUUUCGGGGACGGGCCAAGGUUAAGUCUUUUGGGAUAAGGCAUCAUAGAAGGUGAGAAUCCUGUAUGUGCUUUGGCUUCGUCUCUAUGUGAUACACUCUCAAAGAGUCGGGUUGUUUGGGAAUGCAGCCCAAAAUGGGUGGUAAAUACCAUCUAAAGCUAAAUAUUGGCGAGAGACCGAUAGCGAACAAGUACCGUGAGGGAAAGAUGAAAAGAACUUUGAAAAGAGAGUUAAAAGUACGUGAAAUUGUCAAAAGGGAAACACUUGAAACCAGUCUUGUGGGUUGAAACCCAACUAGUCUAACGAUUAGCAUAUGUUUCAGCUUACAGGUCAACAUCAGUUUUGACUGCUGUACAAAGCUUUGGAAAGGUGACCCUCUCGGGGGUGUUAUAGUCCAAAGUCAUGCAGUGGUUGGGAUUGAGGAACGCAGUGCAGUCUUGGAGACCCUUUCGCUAGUUGAUGCCAUUUGCCAGACAACUUGUUGAUUGGUGAGUGUAUAAGGCUAAUCGGAAGGUUUAUCACACCUGUGCUUAGGAUGUUGACAAAAUGGUUUUAAAUGACCCGUCUUGAAACACGGACCAAGGAGUCUAACACAUAUGCGAGUAUUUGGGUGGAAAACCCGGGAUGCGCAAUGAAAGUAUUAAGGUGGGAUUCUUCGGAUGCACCAUCGACCGGUCUGGAUAUUUUUUGAUAGAUCUGAGUAAGAGCAUAUUUGUUAGGACCCGAAAGAUGGUGAACUAUGCCUGAAUAGGGCGAAGCCAGAGGAAACUCUGGUGGAGGCUCGUAGCGAUUCUGACGUGCAAAUCGAUCGUCAAAUUUGGGUAUAGGGGCGAAAGACUAAUCGAACCAUCUAGUAGCUGGUUCCCUC